rnacentral:rRNA from 1 species
CAGUCGCCACGGGAAUACAGAGGGUGCGAGCGUUAAUCGGAUUUACUGGGCGUAAAGCGUGCGUAGGCGGCUUCUUAAGUCGGAUGUGAAAUCCCUGAGCUUAACUUAGGAAUUGCAUUCGAUACUGGGAAGCUAGAGUAUGGGAGAGGAUGGUAGAAUUCCAGGUGUAGCGGUGAAAUGCGUAGAGAUCUGGAGGAAUACCGAUGGCGAAGGCAGCCAUCUGGCCUAAUACUGACGCUGAGGUACGAAAGCAUGGGGAGCAAAUAGGAUUAGAUACCCCCGUAGUCCCUGUCUCUUAUAA